UUUGAGGUCACUAGGUCAAAGGUCAAGGUCACGGUGACCCGAAAUAGUAAAAUGGUUUCCGGAUGAUAACUCAAGAAUAAAUACGCCUAGGAUCAUGAAACUUCAUGGGUAGAUUGAUCAUGACUCGCAGAUGACCCCUAUCGAUUUUGAGGUCACUAGGUCAAAGGUCAAGGUCACGGUGACCCGAAAUAGUAAAAUGGUUUCCGGAUGAUAACUCAAGAACGCAUACGCCUAGGAUCAUGAAACUUCAUAGGUAGAUUGAUCAUGACUCGCAGAUGACCCCUAUUGAUUUUGAGGUCACUAGGUCAAAGGUCAAGGUCACGGUGACCCGAAAUAGUAAAAUAAUUUUCGGAUGAUAACUCAAGAACGCUUUUGCCUAGGAUCAUGACACUUCAUAGGUACAUUGAUCGUGACUCGCAGAUGACCCCUAUUGAUUUUCAGGUCACUAGGUCAAAGGUCAAGGUCACAGUGACAAAAAAACGUAUUCACACAAUGGCUGCCACUACAACGGACAGCCCAUAUGGGGGGCAUGCAUGUUUUACAAACAGCCCUUGUUACCUUU